rnacentral:lncRNA from 1 species
ACAGCAUUCAGCUUCCAAUCGCCUGCAGGGGGCUCAAGGAAAUUCUAAUUCUGUGGAGGACUACUGCUUCAAUAAUCUGAUAACCAAAGGAGGAGGCAGACACAUCCGUCUUUAGAAUAUCUUCCCUCUUAUCAAGACAGUUAAAAAAUUAUCUACUCACCUCAAUCAAUAGAAACCAGGUAGACAAAAGGAGGAAUUAUGCCCAAGUCCAGCUUGGUGACAUCGCCAAUCAACCAGCUUCCUUACAGAAGCACAGAGCACUCAGGCAGGCAGCUGCAUCACCGAAGUCUCAACACCCAAUUAACCUUCAACCUCCCCUAAGUUCUCACCCCUACACUAAGACUACCUUAGUGGCAGGAUGACCUGCAGCCGAGGCAGGGGUCGUGAUGACUUCAAUGGGGGGGGGGGUAUCCUCACCCUGUCACUCCCACAAAGAAAUGUCUUACACGCGUUCUCGCGACCGGCCAGGAAGAACGCAGCAAACCAGAAUCUUC